rnacentral:rRNA from 1 species
CCUACGGGAGGCAGCAGUGGGGAAUUUUGCGCAAUGGGGGAAACCCUGACGCAGCAACGCCGCGUGGAGGAUGAAAUAUCUUGGUAUGUAAACUCCUUUCGAUGGGGAAGAUAAUGACGGUACCCAUAGAAGAAGCCCCGGCUAACUUCGUGCCAGCAGCCGCGGUAAUACGAGGGGGGCAAGCGUUGUUCGGAUUUAUUGGGCGUAAAGGGUGCGUAGGCGGUUUGGCAAGUCUUGUGUGAAAUCUUCGGGCUCAACCCGAAGCCUGCACAAGAAACUGCCGGGCUUGAGUAUUGGAGAGGUGAGUGGAAUUUCCGGUGUAGCGGUGAAAUGCGUAGAUAUCGGAAGGAACACCUGUGGCGAAAGCGGCUCACUGGACAAUAACUGACGCUGAUGCACGAAAGCUAGGGGAGCAAACAGGAUUAGAUACCCUGGUAGUCCUAGCCCCAAACGAUGAUUGUUUGAUGUGGCAGGUACCCAAUCCUGCCGUGUCGAAGCUAACGCGAUAAACAAUCCGCCUGGGGAGUACGGUCGCAAGGCNGAACGUAAAUAGAAGUAGACGGCGUGAGAGUUGCGAACGACGACACGAGGGAGAGG